rnacentral:rRNA from 1 species
UACAGAGGUCUCAAGCGUUGUUCGGAUUCAUUGGGCGUAAAGGGUGCGUAGGCGGCGCGGUAAGUCGGGUGUGAAAUCUCGGAGCUUAACUCCGAAACUGCAUUCGAUACUGCCGGGCUCGAGUCCGGAAGAGGCGAGUGGAAUUCCCGGUGUAGCGGUGAAAUGCGCAGAUAUCGGGAAGAAUAUCCGUGGCGAAGGCGGCUCUCUGGUACGGCACUGACGCUGAGACGCGAAAGCGUGGGGAGCGAACAGG